ensembl:snRNA U7 U7 small nuclear RNA
UGGUAUUGCAGCUUUUUUAGAAUUUGUCUAGCAGGUUUUCUGGUUUUCACCAGAAAAUGCCACC